rnacentral:tRNA from 1 species
AAAAGAAAUCCGAUCAGGAUGAGAUUCGAACUCACGCGGGGAAACCCCAAUGGAUUAGCAGUCCAUCGCCUUAACCACUCGGCCACCUGAUCAC